UACGUAGGGGGCAAGCGUUGUCCGGAUUUAUUGGGCGUAAAGCGCGUGUAGGCGGCUUGGCAAGUCAGAUGUGAAAGCCCUCGGCUUAACCGAGGAAGUGCGUCUGAAACUGCUGAGCUUGAGUGUCGGAGAGGAUGGCGGAAUUCCGCAAGUAGAGGUGAAAUUCGUAGAUAUGCGGAGGAACACCGGUGGCGAAGGCGGCCAUCUGGACGACUACUGACGCUGAGACGCGAAAAGCGUGGGGAGCAAACAGG
rnacentral:rRNA from 1 species